UAUUAAUAAAAAAUAUUUCGCACAUUUUUAUUUUUGAAAAAGCAAAUUUUCAAAUGGGCAGUUUUUAACAUUUCAUUCAAGGGCAUCAGCUAGCAUAAAAUCAGCAGUGCAAACUAAACUGUGUUGCUAGUAUUUACUGCAUUUCCGUAAAAGCCCAAUACUGUUUCUGUAUCCAACUACUACUUUACACAGUGUGAAAAUGUUUGAAAUGGAGUAACAACACCGCCCACCCUCCAUUUAACUACUUAUUAAUAAUUAAAUAAACACGUCGGAAGCAAUAAAUUUCGCAGCUAAGAUGGUACGGAACAGAUAAAUAAGACUCAGUGUAAAAAUUAGAAAAUGGAGAUGGCACCACCCACUUUUAGAAGAAAUUUAAUUCAUUUAGGAACUAGUCAGCCAAUAUCAACAAAACUUGGUGCGUACUAUUAUCUUGAUAAUCUUAUGCUAAUAAGAUAAAGAAUAAGAACAAAUUUAGACAUCGGAACAAAACUUUGGAGAUAAUAUAUAGUAUAAUUAUGAAUAUUUGUGUAAUCUCAUUCCUUCAAAUAUAUUUUAGUUGGUGGCGUAGCAAAGCGCACAGCUGGCUUCCAUUAUACAACACAUAUUCAGCCCUAUUGUAAACUUCGGGUGAAUAAAUCAAUCCCAAGUAUUUUUAUUUUCACGCGUUAGCAUGUUUUUAAUUUUAAUAAUAUACAUGUCUUUUUUGAUCUAAUGAGGAUUUCGGCAUUAGUUAAUAUAAAAAAGUUGUAAAAAUCAAGUAAAGUUUUAAUAAAGUAUGCUUACCUUUUAU